rnacentral:tRNA from 1 species
GCGGGUGUAGUUCAAUGGUAGAACAUUAGCUUCCCAAGCUAACAGCGGCGGUUCGAUUCCGCUCACCCGCU